AAAAACAGGAAAUUCAAUUAUUGACCACGUGCAUGGCGAAGGCGUGCAAAAACAAGAGAGAUGCAUCACUGAUACUUCAAGGAAAUGAAGGCAGUCCGUCUGGCAGGCCUGCGUGUGAUUUUUAUAGUGGGAGGGGGAAAAAAAAAAAACCUAAAUUGUUGUUUACGUGCGGCCAUUCAAAAGGCAACGGACCGUUUUGAUUAACUUAAACAAAAACGGCCACCAAACACGUCACUGCAAGGCCAGUGGAACCGUCUGGGUGCUUUAAAAAAAAAAAGUAGUGUUUGGGUUUUGAAGUAGGGUUAGGGUUUCAAUUUACAGUACAGCAGCGGUAAGCAACAGAAUGUCUGAGCUCGGUUUUCAAAAUAAGGUCCAAAGUAAGUCGGGUUUUAAACAAGAGUUAAUAUUUCAAAUUAGGAUUUGAAACUAGGGUUAGGGGUUUUAUGGUAGGGUUUUAAAGUAGGGUUGGGGUUUCAAAUUAGGGGUUAGGGUUUCAAAUUGGGGUUAAAACAAGGAUUAGGCUUUUCAAGUCAAUUUAGGGUUUCCAAUGAGCAUUAGGGUUUUCAAGCAGGUUUACGGUUUCAAACUUGGGUUCGGGUUUUCCCGAUUCAGCACGCGCAAGCUUUCCCCGACCAAUCAGCGGCGGCGCUCUGAAGUCGACUCGUAUCUCUUCCCUCAGGUGAGCCGACGACACCUGCAACGUGUUGGGAGUCGGCUGCUCUCUCUACUUUGCGAUUGAGCCGUUAAGAAACUGUCACCGCGUCUGUCUUCGCCCCUUUUCGCCCCGGGAGCCAAAUUCCUCCACGUUUGGCAGCUCUUCGCUCUCACAUGCUGUUUGGCGCAUGUGAUGCGUGUGAUGUGGAGUGUCAGUCCAGAUGUCAUCGCGUGGAUCUGAGCUUCAACAGGCAUGCUGCUAAAUACCUCUCCGGGUGAAGAAAUAUUCUCUCAGUCACCAAUUCAUUAGUGACGUUUUUUUUUUGUUUUUUUUUUAAAUAAACAGAGCUCCCACCCCCCC